rnacentral:rRNA from 1 species
UACGAAGGGGGCUAGCGUUGCUCGGAAUCACUGGGCGUAAAGGGUGCGUAGGCGGAUCUUUAAGUCAGGGGUGAAAUCCUGGAGCUCAACUCCAGAACUGCCUUUGAUACUGAGGAUCUCGAGUUCGGGAGAGGUGAGUGGAACUGCGAGUGUAGAGGUGAAAUUCGUAGAUAUUCGCAAGAACACCAGUGGCGAAGGCGGCUAACUGGUCCGGUUCUGACGCUGAGGCGCGAAAGCGUGGGGAGCAAACAGG